rnacentral:rRNA from 1 species
CCUACGGGGGGCUGCAGUGGGGAAUAUUGGACAAUGGGCGAAAGCCUGAUCCAGCAAUGCCGCGUGAGUGAUGAAGGCCUUAGGGUUGUAAAGCUCUUUUACCAGGGGUGAUAAUGACAGUACCUGGAGAAUAAGCUCCGGCUAACUCCGUUCCGGCAGCCGCGGUAAUACGGAGGGAGCUAGCGUUGUUCGGAAUUACGGGGCGUAAAGCGCACGUAGGCGGUUUUGCAAGUCAGGGGUGAAAGCCCGGAGCUCAACUCCGGAAUUGCCAUUGAAACUGGAAGACUAGAAUACUGGAGAGGUCAGUGGAAUUCCGAGUGUAGAGGUGAAAUUCGUAGAUAUUCGGAAGAACACCAGUGGCGAAGGCGACUGACUGGACAAGUAUUGACGCUGAGGUGCGAAAGCGUGGGGAGCAAACAGGAUUAGAUACCCCAGUAGUC